UCAACCCAAUUUUCUCUAGCUACAAAGUCCUAGCAUAUUAAUAUUUAGUCCUGGUAAGACAGACUACAUGGAAGGUUAGGUCUGAAUGUCCGCUGAAGCCUGGAGAUUGACAGUUAGAGAACUCAAACUCAAUGGCCCCAAUCCCUCUUUCUCUGUCCAUCUUCCAAGGUUCCAUUUCCAGCAUAUUUCUGGGUUUCCAACUCCCCAGAUUAAUCCAUGUCUCUUACACCCCUUAUGUUUCGGUCUCUAGUGCGGCUACUGACAUCGUUAAUCGCUGAGCCUGCAGCCUCCAUCGCAACCUUGCUAUAUUACAGUGAUCUUCUGCCCCAGAACAUCAUCUGGGAGGGAAUGGUUCGACAUGAAAUGUUAGACCAAGAAAAUUAUCUGUUCCAUUUUCUCAUCAACUUCUUGAGGUGUUUUUGGUAGACAUAUCGCUACUACUACCCACUCAACCUGCAAGCUAAGUUUUCAAGCGACUCCGAUACUCUUUGACCUAUUUAUUUUUACAUAGUCAAUCGAUUAAUUCAGCCAUAAUUGUUUUUAAAGGAAGUUGUAAUUGUUGAUUUCUGGUGAAUAAUUUCAUUUGUAAUAUCAUAAGAAUACAGUUGGAAGACA